GCAUAUCCAUAAGCGGAGGAAAAGAAACCAACAGGGAUUGCCCUAGUAACGGCGAAGUGAAGCGGCAACAGCUCAAAUUUGAAAUCUGGCGUCUUCGGCGUCCGAGUUGUAAUUUGCAGAGGGCGCUUUGGCAUUGGCAGCGGUCCAAGUUCCUUGGAACAGGACGUCACAGAGGGUGAGAAUCCCGUACGUGGUCGCUAGCCUUUACCGUGUAAAGCCCCUUCGACGAGUCGAGUUGUUUGGGAAUGCAGCUCUAAAUGGGAGGUAAAUUUCUUCUAAAGCUAAAUACUGGCCAGAGACCGAUAGCGCACAAGUAGAGUGAUCGAAAGAUGAAAAGCACUUUGGAAAGAGAGUUAAAAAGCACGUGAAAUUGUUGAAAGGGAAGCGCUUGCAGCCAGACUUGCCUGUAGUUGCUCAUCCGGGUUUCUACCCGGUGCACUCUUCUAUAGGCAGGCCAGCAUCAGUUUGGGCGGUUGGAUAAAGGUCUCUGUCAUGUACCUCUCUUCGGGGAGAACUUAUAGGGGAGACGACAUGCAACCAGCCUGGACUGAGGUCCGCGCAUCUGCUAGGAUGCUGGCGUAAUGGCUGUAAGCGGCCCGUCUUGAAACACGGACCAAGGAGUCUAACAUCUAUGCGAGUGUUUGGGUGUCAAGCCCGAGCGCGUAAUGAAAGUGAACGGAGGUGGGAACCUUUCGGGGUGCACCAUCGACCGAUCCUGAUGUCUUCGGAUGGAUUUGAGUAAGAGCAUAGCUGUUGGGACCCGAAAGAUGGUGAACUAUGCUUGAAUAGGGUGAAGCCAGAGGAAACUCUGGUGGAGGCUCGCAGCGGUUCUGACGUGCAAAUCGAUCGUCAAAUUUGGGCAUAGGGGCGAAAGACUAAUCGAACUAUCUAGUAGCUGGUUCUGCCG
rnacentral:rRNA from 1 species